GAGGAAUUCGCAGCCGGCGGCGCGGCCGGGCGCGUUCCCUUCCCCUCUCUCCGUUGCCCGGCGAGGGAGCCACAGCGCAGCGGUUGCCAUGGCCACGGGCCGGGCGUGGGGCUGGGGGACCAGGGGCCGCUGAGCCUCGAUCACCUUGUCCUGCUCGAGCCAGGCUCUGCAAGUCCGACCUGGGUGCCCCAGAGAGCUGCUCCGGGAAAGACGUUUACCUGCUGCCCAGAGCUGGGACUGCAGACCCUGAUUGGCGAGGGCUUGGAGAGUAGCUGAGAACCUUCCCUUCAGCUACUGAAGACCAGACAGGGCUUUCUGUAUCACGCUGCCUGACGAUGAUGAGGGUGCAGUGACUAAGAGUGCAGAUGAAAGGCCCAGCUCUCCAACCAGGUGGAUGGAUUUGCAAGGAGCUUCUAUCUGGGCGUGGUGGCUCAUGCCUGUAAUCCCAGCACUUUGGGAGGCUGGUCUUGAACUCCUGACCUCAGGUGAUCCCCCCCACCUUGGCCUCCCAAAGUGCUGGGAUUACAGAGGUGGCUCUUUUAAUUGACUCCUCUCCAGGCAUCUCUCCUUCCAGCCACAGAGCCUGGCCUGAUGGUCCCAGGGCCCCAGGGCCCCAGGUGAAGGCCUCUCUCCUCCCCCACUCAGGUCUGACCAGCUCUGUUUCCAUCCUGGUGUGGGCACAAGGUCUCUUGCUGCAGCUGGGCCAGUUUGCUGACCUUCUCAGCUCCUUCUCUUAGACUGGAGAGGCCUGGAAGGGUGCCCGAGGGAGGGUCUGGGCUGCUCUCCUGGGCUCCUCCCCUCCACUCCAGGACUCUGGCUGGAGCCUGGUCAGGGUCCUUACUGAGUUCUCAGCCAAGCGCCAGCCCUGUGAUGGCCUGAGGGGUCUGGUGGGGAAGCCCCAAAGUGAGGGCUCCAUAGCCCUCACUGUCCCUCCCCCAGCAUUGUGCAGUGCCGGCGGUCUCUGAGUUCUUCUGGGUAGCCUUUCUACCACAUCCUCUUGCCUACUUUCACCAGGUGGCCAAGGGACACUAAAAAAGGCAGUGAAUAGCUAGAGGACCACUCUUGAAAAUCAGCCUGCCUUCCUCCUGGUGCCAGCUCCUGUCCCUCCGGCCUCCUUUUCAUAGAAUUCUACAACAGGAGGAAACAGAGAGGUCAUCUCCUCCACCUUCACCAAGUUUCCAGAACGGAUGGGUUAGAGGGAUCUGGCGUUCUCUGAGGCUUCGGGCCAAACCUUGGACAUUGGGCUGGCCAGAGAUCUUGCUGGGGUUGCCUUGGGAAUUGUAUAUCCAUUGGGAGCACUAGCCCUGAACACCUGGGGCUCCCCACCUGCUAGGAGCUGGGAGGACUCUGGUGUUCCCUGCAACCCCCCAGGGUCUGGGUGGACGGAAUGGCAGCCCAGGACUGUUCCCCAGGCUGACCUGGACUCUGAUGAGAGCCAAGAGUGGACCUAGCUGUCAUUUAGAUCCCUGGGGGAGCCUUCACAGUAGCUGCCAAGCAGAGGUCCUGGCACUGGGGAGGGUUCUCACACGUAGGAGGGGCAGUACUUAAGCAAGUAACAGUGGAGAGGGCACUGGAUUUGACAUCAGCUGAGAGGUGGUCCGUUUCUGCUUCUCUCACUGCUUAUCUGUGAUCUGAGGCAAGCCUAAACUCCUCUACAGCUUAGUUUACUCAUCUGGAAAGUGUGGUAUAUUUUAUUUUACCUGCCUUACAUCUGAGGCAUGGAGGAAGGACGGAAUGAGAUCACCUAUUAAAAUGCAUUUUGAAAAAACAAAAGUGCUAUUUAUGCAAACACAUGGUACUAAAAAUAAAAGAUGCCUGUUUGCUUCUGGAAGUAAAAGUUGUGAAUGAUGCCGGGCGCUGUGGCUCACACCUGUAAUCCCAGCACUUUGGGAGGUCAAGGCGGGUGGAUCACAAGGUCGAGAGAUCGAGACCAACCUGGCCGACAUGGGGAAACCCCAUCUCUACUAAAAAUACCAAAAAAAUUAGCUGAGCACGGUGGCACACGCCUGUAGUCCCAGCUACUCAGGAGGCUGAGGCAGGAGAAUCACUUGAACCCGGGAGGCGGAGGUUGCAGUGAGCCGAGAUUGCGCCAUUGCACUCCUGCACUCCAGCCUGGUGACAGAGCGAGACCAUCCG
rnacentral:lncRNA from 1 species